CCCUUAGAUGUCCUGGGCCGCACGCGCGCUACACUGAUGCAUGCAACGAGUUUAUAACCUUGGCCUGAAAGGUCUGGGUAAUCUUUUGAACGUGCAUCGUGAUAGGGAUAGAUUAUUGCAAUUGUUAAUCUUGAACGAGGAAUUCCUAGUAAACGCGAGUCAUCAGCUCGCAUUGAUUACGUCCCUGCCCUUUGUACACACCGCCCGUCGCUACUACCGAUCGAGCGCCCUAGCGAGGUCGUCCGAUUGUCGCCGAGGCCGGCUUUCGCGAGCUGCGCAUCCGACGAAAAGGCGAUCGAACUCGAGCGCUUAGAGGAAGUAAAAGUCGUAACA
rnacentral:rRNA from 1 species